AUCUUAUCAAACCAAAGUCCAAAGGUCAGAACACCGAUAUAAAGACAGUUGGUCCAUUUAAUAGACAGGUCCCCAGGGAGGUUGGUCAGUUCAGUUAGAAAAAAAUCCCAAGCGAGGAGGUUGACUCGAGGUAGGAUACGAUGGCGUUCUCCUUGACGACCCGCAAUCCAACUGACACACCAAGGACCUCCGGUCACAUGAUCAUGCACGCCGUGACCAUCGCCCUGGCAACCCUUACACACAUCCUCUGUGAGGUGGUUCGCUGUCUGGCGACCGACCCCAGCACGCCCAACGCCCUCUUCCAGGUGUCUGCGAGGAAUGUGUCGGCUACCUUUCCCAUGGAGGUCAGCAUGGACACCUGGGCGGAGAACUGCUGGAUCAUGAUCAACAUCUGGACGCUUGCUUGGAUGUUGCACGCCAUGGCUACCCUGUUCCAGCGGUACGAGUUCCCUCCCCGUUACCUAACAUUUGCAUCAGAAAACCUCUCUCUAGGUUAAACAAAAGCUACUGCAAUAUUAACCUGUGAAGGGCUGAUAUGACUGGUGACCUGAUCAACUAGUGAUUAUUCCUUAAUGCGACACAGCUGUCCUCACCUGAAACUGAAUUGAAGGGGCAUAAAUAGGGAAGCGGAUGUGAUAUGUUUAUAACAGCAGGGCUGAAAGGUUAGGUACAGCAGGGCUGAGAGGUAAGGUACAGCAGGGCUGAGAGGUAAGGUACAGCAGGGCUUAGAGGUAAGGUACAGCAGGCCUGAGAGGUAAGGUACAGCAGGGCCGAGAAUUUAGGUACAGCAGGGCUGAGAAGACAGCAAGGCUGAAAGGUUUCUACAGUGGAACAGAGAUGUGGAAUACAGCAGGGCUGAGAUGUAAGGUACAGCAGGGAUGAUAUGGCUGAUAUUGACCCCCCGGCGUGUAGAUCCGUAGUUGGACCUCUGUCCUGCAACCCAGAGAUCCACUCCCCUCUGUUCUUCCUCGUUUGGACCACCAUCAACAUGUUCAGGAUGGCCGCGAUCCUCCACUGGUCCAGAUAGUAAGAGGUUUUUUAUUAACAUCUCACACACUCACACAUUCACAUUGACACACACACACACACACACACAAAAACAUGGGCCUAAAGUUGUUAUUAUGCUGGGGUUGCAGUGAUCUGGUUGGGACGUUGCUAUCCAGGUGGCUGGUGGUGGGGUGUAGUUUCUUCACCCUGGGAAUGUCCUACCGUAACCUGGCCCACCACAGUGCCUGGCUUCAAAUCAACCACCCAGCACAGAUCUGCUGGAUACGAUACCUGGUACACACAACAACACAACAAUACACCAAGACUCUUCACAGUUAGAGAUAUAGAGCUGUGGGGAUGAUGAUGUCGAUGUCUGUCUGUGUCCGUCUGUCUAUCUGCCGGUCUCUCUCUCUCUGCCUGCCUGCAUGCCUGGCUGCCUGUCUUGUUUGUUGCUGUCUGUCUGUCCACAGGCCCAGAACGGUUUGGCUGUGUUCUGCUGCUGGUCCCUGCUGGAGGCGCUGGUGGUUCUGGGUCAGGUCCUCUGCUACGUGGGGGGCUUCCCGGACCCUAUGAUCAGCUCUAUCAUCUUCCUCCUCAUCCUCCUGUUCAUCAAAGUCUGGAUUGCGCUUGAGAGACUUGUGUUCCCCAGACACCUAUGCUACACCUUCACCACGUACCCCACCCUGAUCCUGGGCCUUGGAGCCAUGUUCACCGCCAGCUACCAGUUCCAAGCCAUGGCUGCUAACACCAUCUUAUGUGGUAUCAUAAUGGUGUUAGCCACCUGCUUCAGCAUCGCCAGCACCGUCUACAGCUGUUUUCUUGACGAUGAACCCCCCGUCCACUCUCCGGCGUUAGAGUUCGACCUGACCUCGGAGGGAUGCGAGACAGUGUGCAAGGUGGAGAGCGACAAGACCAAACGCAUCAAGUCUGUUCCGCACAUCCUCAAGAAAAUACUCAGUGACGUUAGAGUUGGGUCACAUUAAAAGAACAGACUUCCUGCGGCUGACCCCGUUUCUGUGUAUGUGAAUAAAUAGAGUAAAGUGUGUCUGCUGAUUGUUUUACGUGUCUUAGUUUGGUUAAUGGUUGGUAUUUUGGAUGCACUGCAAUGUAAUCGCCAGCAGGGCGUGCUAAGGAAACACGUCAAAUAACAGGGACUUGAUGUGAUCAUAUGGGCUCCGGCUUGAUUGUACACUUCAUGCAACCUCCCGUUGGAUUGAGCAAUGAUUACAUUGCGUGUUUUCAGUUGAGAAAUCUGAUUUGUAUUUUUUAGACAGGUACCACUACACGGUUUAAGUCGUUAAUUUUGCGUUUGGAAAUGAUCAUUCAGUGUUUUCCCGUCUCCUACCUGCUUAGGUCUAAGCAUACAAUGACUAGACCACACAAAAUAAAUCGAAAGGAUAAUUGGGCCACCUGUUGGUGAAUAAAUUUGGUUUGAACCGGA
ensembl:lncRNA